rnacentral:lncRNA from 1 species
UUUAUUUCCGGUAUCUCUAGUCUGUUCCAUUGACCUAUAUGUUUGUUUUCAUGCAAGUGCCAUAUAGUUUUGAUUACUGUAGCUUUGUAGUAUAGUUUGAAAUAGGGAAUGCAAUACCUUCAGAUUUGUUUUUCCUUCUAAAAUUGCUUUGGCUACUCGGGGUCUUUUGUGGUUCUAUGUUCAAGUUCUGUGGAAAAUUCCACAAGCAUUUUAUAAGAAUUUCAAUUAAUACAUAGAUUUCCCUGGAUGAUGUGGGCAUUUUAAUAGUAUUCCUUUUUCUAAUCCAUAAGCACUAUAUAUCUUUUCACUUAUUUAUGGCAUUUUCAAUUUUCUUUCAUCAAUGUCUGUUAGUUUUCAGAAUACAGAUUGUCCACCUCCUUGGUUAAGUGAGUAUUUUAUUCUCUUCCUGACAAUUCAUUAUUAGUGUAUAGAGACACAACCUAUUUCUGUGUAAAAUAGGUCCUCUUUAUCCAUUGGUUUUGCAUCAGUGAAUACAGAGGGCACAGGGACCUAUGUCAUUUUUUUUUUUUUUUUUUGGAGCUUCUGGGCCAGGGAUCAGAUCCAAGCCAGAGUUGCAAACUAUGCCACAGAUUCAGCAAUGCUGGAUCCUUAAUCCACUGUGUAGAGACCUCCAUCCCAGCCCUCCAUAGAUAUGCUCCUAAUCCCAUUGCACCAGGGUGAGAACUUUUGUACUAUGCCAUUUUAUGUAAGGGAGUCAAUCAUCCACAGAUUUUGAUAUCAAAAAUGAAAUGUGGAUGUUGAGGGAUGAGUGUAUUAAUUUUGCAUCCUGCUAUUAUACUGGAUUCAUUUAUUAGUUCUAAGUUUUUGUGGUAUAAUCUUGAGUUUUUUAUAUAUACAGUAUCAUGUCAUCUUCAAAUAGUGACAACAUUACUUCUUCCUUUACAACUUGUAUGCAUUUUAUUAUAUUCCCUGUCUAAUUGCUGUGACUAGGACUUCCAAUACUAUGUUAAAUAAAAGUGGAGCUAGUGGACAUCUUUGUGUUUUUCCUGCUCUUAUUGAUUAUGAUGAUAGCUGUGAGUUUGCCAUAUAUGGCUUUUAUUAUGUUAGAUGUAUAUCCUCUUUAACACCUUCUUAAGAGCUUUUAUCAUAAAUGGUUGUUGAAUUUUGUCAAAUGCUUUAUAUGCACCUAUUGUGAUUUGUUAUAUUUAUUUUUGUUACUGUGGUAUAUCAUAUUGAUUUGUGGAUGUUAAGCCAUGCUUUACGUCCUUGAAAUUAAAGCCCACUUAAUUAAAAUGAACAAGGAAUAUUGUUUACUUUUCCACAUGUGUCUCCACCACCUUUGUGUCUGUCUCAUGAGUUUCUAGCUAUAAGUGAAAACAGUGGAGAGAGAAUUAUUUGUAUAGUUCUUUCUAUCCUCUCUUUCAUGUACUCAUUCCCCAAUAGGCAAUUUGCUUUUGUUCAAUUCCCAGUAGUAUAACUACUUUCAGAUAGUCGCUUUUGUAUGGUGUUCCAGUUUUAUAGUUGUUUUUCUGCAGGGAGUAUUCCAAUAUGGCAUAUAGUCCAUCUUUAUCAAAUGUAGAAGUUGCUUAAAUUUCUUGUUGUACAUCUGAACUUGUGGCUAAUAAAAUGCAGAGCAUUAUACCAGCUAUUUAAAUAACUAAUUAUUAAUAACAAAAUAGUGACUAUGCUGUAGUUAGACUGAACACAAGAGGGAAUUGUCCUCCACUUGUACUGUUAUAGAAGUAUUUAGGUGAGCUAAGUUAGAGUAGUUGCACAAAUAUUGAGACAAAAAUGAGGAGACAUUUUCAGACUACGAAGCUUCACAUAAACUAGAAACAAAAGUCAUGGUAGCAUCUAAGACUUCCAUAUUAUUUUAAGUGUAGAGGUGCAAGAUAGCCUAUAGUCAGGUUGACGGUGUUAUUGUGGAGUAGUGGUGGUUGUGGUGAUGGUAACGAUGAUGAUAGGAGUGCUAACUGCUGGCAGUGAUGGUGGUGUUGGUGGUGAGAAUAUUAGUAUUCGUGGUAUUGGUUGAGGUAGCGGGUGGAAAUGGAAAAGGUUAUAAUGAUAACCUUUGAAAUCUGAAAUGGUUUGCAGAAAUGAUUAGAUAGCAGGUUCAACAAAGAGAUGAAUUCCACCUAUUUCUAACACUGGGAAAGAUAUUCACUAAUAUCAAGUAAAAAGCAUGUAGACGUCAACUUGAAUUACUAAACUCUAAUAUCCAAUGAGCUUCAUUUAACCUCUUUAACAAGUUUCCCAAGGCAAGGGUUGGUUGAGUUGGACUGUAUCUAUAUUCCUUCACUGUUACCCUAUCACAUUUUGUUCAUGUGUAUAUUUUUGUAAUGUUUGCUAUGCCAUAACAAAAUUAUUCACUUUUUUAGUUUAUUGUUUGAGAAUGAGGAGUAUGCCUUUUCAUUUUCUGUUAUUACCUUACAUAAAAUGUUUAAUGAUGUUCAAAGAUUUGGAUUUUAACCAUGAUUUGGAGUAUACAGGAAUGUUACAUUUUUUCCAUUAAGUAAAAUUAAUUUUACUCUGAGCAUGCAUAAUAAUGAUUGACUAGAAAUAUGAAAUAUUUAAUAGAGCUUCCACUCUACCUACAUUCACUCAAUGUUCUUCAAAUAUCUGCACAGCAAAACAAAAUUGAUGACCCCAGAUUUGUUCCAUAGUAACACACAUAAGCAUUUGAAGUGCUAAGACAUAAGGUUUCUAUGCUAUACUUGGUGGAUAAGGUGGGAAAUAUGAUGCCCAUGGUCCAGCCUAAUAGAACAACCACUGAGCCAUCCAUUUCCCUUUGCCAUUUCACUGCUUAUAAGGCAUGCAAUAUGAAAAGCCAUGUAGGGCUGGUAAUCAUAACACCAAUCAAGUUUUUUUUUCCUUCUCAAUAUGGAGAUAUCUUUUCUCUUUCUCCUGCUUGCUUUAUUUUGCAUCACCUCCAUCUACUUUAGAAAAACACCCACCCUAGAGUCUCAGAAAUGGCCCUAACAUCUAUCUUAUAAAGAGAUUUUCAUUUAGGAACUUUUAUUUUCUUCUGUCUUUCUAAUUUACCUUUCACUGAAACAAUACAAAAUCAGGCUACCUGGUUGAAGUGGAGCAUUCUGGGAGAAUGUAAAGGAAAUACGUACAGCAACACAUUACUACUAACACCUUAGGGAAUAAUCCUGCUGCAUACACAUUUGUGAAAUUAAUGUGAAUGGGAUUAGUUUAGAUAAAUUAACUCCUUUUUAAUUUGGAUGACAUCUAGGGAGAACAAGUAUUUUAUUUGUUUUCUUAUCUCAUAAUUCUCUAAAUUUGUUAAUCAUUUGUUAUUUUUGUUAAACUUUUUCAGGUCCUUUAUAGGUACUAGUCUUUAAAACUAAGAGACUGAAUUUGUUCACACUCAGCAGAAACGGGCAGGGUUGGAAAUAUAGUUCAUCUCUCCACAUCAUACUGUGCUACAGAGGAAUGUGGUGAGAAGUUGGGCAGCAAUGCACAUUUAAGGGAUAAAAUCAUCCUUGGGCCCGUGGAAGGGGAAAAAAAAAGAAACUGAAGAGGGUUUCUAGGCUGGACUUAGAGGCUUUGGGGUUUUGAUCUGAAGUUUCCAAAGUUGGAAUGUGAUUGUCUUAGGCCAUAUUUCAUAUCCUACUGUACCCUCCUUACCUCAUUAAAAUUUCUUAUUCACACUGCUUAAUCCAACCCAAAGGCCAAUGCACUAUUUUUUGGAUAUUCUUAGUUUUUCAUAGUAAAUUUGUAAGCAGAAAAAAAUAAUUCUUCUAACCUCUAUCUUAUUCCAGAGGAAAAAAGAGCAUUACUUCAGCUCAGCCAGUUUGAAGAAAAUACCAGGUUUUUUCCUGUUAGUUCAGUUGCGUUUUCUCCUGAUAGUAUCCAGAAUAAAUUAAACCCAUGUGCUGAUCUGCAGCACACAUCAAACUCCUUACUUUGCAGGAUUUAAAUAACUCCAUAUAUGUCCCUAGGGUUUAUCCCAAUUGAAUUAAUAGCCAGGUCCCU